rnacentral:rRNA from 1 species
CGCUGGCGGCGUGCCUAACACAUGCAAGUCAACUUGACUGAAGGAGCAAUCUGACAGUAGAGUGGCGCAAGGGUGCGUAACGCGUAAGUAACUUGCCCCAAGGUAAGGAAUAACGUCGAGAAAUCGGCGCUAAUACCUCAUAAUGCAGCGGAUCCGCAUGGAUAUGUUGUUAAAGGUUUACCGCCUUGGGAUAGGCUUGCGUCUGAUUAGCUAGUUGGUGUGGUAACGGCACACCAAGGCUACGAUCAGUAACUGGUCUGAGAGGAUGAUCAGUCACACUGGAACUGAGACACGGUCCAGACUCCUACGGGAGGCAGCAGUGAGGAAUAUUGGGCUAUGCUCGAAAGAGUGACCCAGCAACGCCGCGUGGAGGAUGAAGGUAUUCUAUAUCGUAAACUCCUGUGAGAGCAGACGAAAGACAGAUUAUUAAUCUGGAUGACUGUAUGCUCAGAGGAAGCCCCGGCUAACUACGUG